GCCCUGUUAGCUCAGUCGGUUAGAGCCGCGAACUCAUAAUUCGCUGGUCACUGGUUCAAGCCCAGUACAGGGCACCA
rnacentral:tRNA from 1 species